CUUUAGUUCAAAAACAGAUAAAAUAAGAUAAAAUUAGGUAAUCAUUCUUUCAUGCAAAGUUAUUGAUAUUAACAUAGCUAAUUACAAUUAUGUGUUCAUUGAGUUGGUAAAUUAAUUACUUAGACUUAAAGAGACAGGGAUUCAAAUGCUGACUUUGCCCUUUUAGUAAAGGUUUUGGGGUAUGUUUUAUUUUUAUGGAAAGUAGUACUAUUAUCACUUCCACCCAGGGUGGCUGGAUGAACCGAGAUUGUACGCGGGGAAGAAUAAACAAUGCCUGUCAUGUAAUUCGUGUUAAAUAAUUGUUUAUCAUUUAUUGAUUCAGACUUAUUCACCCCCAGAACUGCUUCUUCCUAGUAUAAGGAAUUAGUAUAAGUAUACGGAGCAAGCAAAUUGGUUAUACAAGGUAAGCCAUUUCAACUGUAUUGAAAUCAUUUGCCUGAAACGUUUUUGUUCCCAUUCAACAUUGCUUGUUUACACGGUGUCGGAUCAAAUGGGAGAGAGAACAAGGUGAUUCACGAUCAUCCUCCAAAGAGGCAGCUGCAACAUAAACGAUGUCUCAGGAAACAGCAUAAUCUGUUUAUGUGGCCACAACUGUGUGAUCUCUGACCUGUCUUAAUCUUCAGGGGUGGAUAUGUGUGGCACUUUUGUCCCCAGGUGGAACCGAAUAUUGACCAAAAAAAAAAAAAAAAAAAAAAAAAAAGAGAGAGAGAGAGACCCACCAUUAAUUUGUGUAUUUCUUUUAUAUCAUUGCAGAUAUCUUGAAAACCUUUGGUAUAGGUUUCAAAUCUUCACUUGCUUCAUUGAGCUCAUCUCUCCUGCUUUGCAAAGAUGGAGAAAGAAGGAGAGAGUGAGCUUUCUGAUGUCUCUUCUUAACACUAUUCCUAUCAGCUCAGGUAAGGGAAGGAAA
rnacentral:lncRNA from 9 species